rnacentral:rRNA from 1 species
UACGAAGGGGGCUAGCGUUGUUCGGAAUCACUGGGCGUAAAGGGCGCGUAGGCGGCCGCUCAAGUCGGGGGUGAAAGCCUGUGGCUUAACCACAGAAUUGCCUUCGAUACUGUUUGGCUUGAGACCGGAAGAGGUGAGUGGAACUGCGAGUGUAGAGGUGAAAUUCGUAGAUAUUCGCAAGAACACCAGUGGCGAAGGCGGCUCACUGGUCCGGUUCUGACGCUGAGGCGCGAAAGCGUGGGGAGCAAACAGG